CUCUCUCUCUCUGUCUCUCUCUCUCUCUCUCACACACACCCACACCCACACACACCGGUGUGUGUGUGUGUGUGUGUGUGUGAGAGAGAGAGAGAGAGAGAGAGAGAG
rnacentral:miRNA from 1 species